UACGUAGGUGGCAAGCGUUGUCCGGAUUUAUUGGGUUUAAAGGGUGCGUAGGCGGUCAAGUAAGUCAGCGGUGAAAUCCGGCAGCUCAACUGUCGAUGUGCCAUUGAUACUGCAUGACUUGAGUACUGAUGAGGUAGGCGGAAUUGACGGUGUAGCGGUGAAAUGCUUAGAUAUCGUCAAGAACACCGAUAGCGAAGGCAGCUUACUAAGCAGUAACUGACGCUGAUGCACGAAAGUGUGGGGAUCAAACAGGA
rnacentral:rRNA from 1 species